rnacentral:rRNA from 1 species
GACGGGGGAUGCAAGUGUUAUCCGGAAUCACUGGGCGUAAAGCGUCUGUAGGUGGUCAAAUAAGUCAACUGUUAAAUCUUGAGGCUCAACCUCAAAAUCGCAGUCGAAACUAUUAGACUAGAGUAUAGUAGGGGUAAAGGGAAUUUCCAGUGGAGCGGUGAAAUGCGUAGAUAUUGGAAAGAACACCGAUGGCGAAGGCACUCUACUGGGCUAUUACUGACACUCAGAGACGAAAGCUAGGGGAGCAAAUGGG